rnacentral:misc_RNA from 1 species
UCACUACUUGCGUAGGCAGUUUUCUUAGAGUCCCCAGCAUGACCUGAUGGCAACUAAGAAUAGGGGUUGCGCUCGUUAUGGGACUUAACCCGACACCUCACGGCACGAGCUGACGACAACCAUGCAGCACCUUGUAAGACGUCCCGAAGGAAAGUCCGCUUUCACGAACAGUCGUCUCACAUUUAAGCCCAGGUAAGGUUCCUCGCGUAUCAUCGAAUUAAACCACAUGCUCCACCGCUUGUGCGGGCCCCCGUCAAUUCCUUUGAGUUUCAACCUUGCGAUCGUACUUCCCAGGUGGAUCACUUAAUACUUUCGCUCAGUCGCUGACAGUAUAUCGCCAACAACGAGUGAUCAUAGUUUACAGCGUGGACUAC